rnacentral:rRNA from 1 species
CCUACGGGAGGCAGCAGUGAGGAAUAUUGGUCAAUGGUCGGGAGCCUGAACCAGCCAAGCCGCGUGCGGGAUGAAGGUACAGAGUAUCGUAAACCUCUUUUGUCAGGGAACAAAGGCGGGGACGCGUCCCCGGAUGAGUGUACCUGAAGAAAAAGCAUCGGCUAACUCCGUGCCAGCAGCCGCGGUAAUACGGAGGAUGCGAGCGUUAUCCGGAUUUAUUGGGUUUAAAGGGUGCGCAGGCGGUCUGUUAAGUCAGCGGUCAAAGCCCGGGGCUCAACCCCGGCCCGCCGUUGAACCUGGCAGUCUCGAGUUGGAGAGAAGUAUGCGGAAUGCGCGGUGUAGCGGUGAAAUGCAUAGAUAUCGCGCAGAACUCCGAUUGCGAAGGCAGCAUGCCGGCUCCACACUGACGCUGAGGCACGAAAGCGUGGGUAUCGAACAGGAUUAGAUACCCUGGUAGUC